GACUCCUACGGGGGGCAGCAGUAGGGAAUAUUGCUCAAUGGGGGAAACCCUGAAGCAGCAACGCCGCGUGGAGGAUGAAGGUUUUCGGAUUGUAAACUCCUUUUGUUAGAGAAGAUACAAGACAGUACCUAAGGAGGAAGCCCCGGCUAACUAUGUGCCAGCAGCCGCGGUAAUACAUAGGGGGCAAGCGUUAUCCGGAUUUAUUGGGUGUAAAGGGUGCGUAGACGGAGAAACAAGUUGGUUGUGAAAUCCCUCGGCUCAACUGAGGAACUGCAACCAAA
rnacentral:rRNA from 1 species